UUGCAUAUUCAUAGGCCCGGUCUUGUGGUAAGAACUGUGUAGUUCGUUAACUCGCUACACGGUUCUUGCCACAAGACCGAGUCUGUGAAUAUGCAA
rnacentral:pre_miRNA from 1 species